GACGAACGCUGGCGGCGUGCUUAACACAUGCAAGUCGAACGGAAAGGCCCUGCUGUUGUGGGAUGCGCGGGUAGCGAACGGGUGAGUAACACGUGAGUAGCCUGCCCUUGACGUUGGGAUAACGUCAGGAAACUGUGGCUAAUACCGGAUAGUAGCUCCGGCUGCAUGGUGGGGGUUGGAAAGUUUCGGCGGUGGGGGAUGGACGCGCGGCUUAUCAGCUUGUUGGUGGGGUAGUGGCUUACCAAGGCUUGGACGGGUAGCCGGCCUGAGAGGGUGACCGGCAACAUUGGGACUGAGAUACGGCCCAGACUCCUCCGGGAGGCAGCAGUGGGGAAUAUUGCACAAUGGGCGGAAGCCUGAUGAAGCACCGCCGCGUGCGGGAUGACGGCCUUCGGGUUGUAACCCGUUUUAGCAUGUGACGAAGCGUGAGUGACGGUAAUGGGUAAAGAAGCACCGGCUAACUACGUG
rnacentral:rRNA from 1 species